GCGGUUUUGCAUGGAUAAUAAUCGGGCAUAAACAUAUUACCGAAGCUAUGGAUUUGUAUUAUAUACAAGUGGUAGGGGAGCAUUGUAACCUGCGUAGAAGGUGUGCUGUAAGGCAUGCUGGAGUGGUUACAAAAGAAAAUGUAGGCAUAAGUAACGAUAAAGGGGGCGAGAAACCCCCUCACCGAAAGACUAAGGUUUCCUCAGCGAUGCUAAUCAGCUGAGGGUUAGUCGGGUCCUAAGGCGAAUCCGAAGGGAGUAGUCGAUGGAUAACAGGUUAAUAUUCCUGUACUUCUUAUAAUUGCGAUGGGGUGACGGAGUAUUGAAAGCACCGCGAACUGACGGAAUAGUUCGUUAAAGUACGUAGCUAUAGAACCAGAUUAAGAGUUAGGUUUUGGCAAAGUACGAUAGUACCACAAAGCUUCGGCAGCGUGGAUAGUGUGCCUAAAAGCUUCCAAGAAAAACCUCUAAGCUUCAGAUUAUAAGAACCCGUACCGUAAACCGACACAGGUAGUUGGGAUGAGAAUUCUAAGGUGCUCGAGAGAUUCAUGGCUAAGGAACUAGGCAAAAUAGACCCGUAACUUCGGGAGAAGGGUCGCCCAUCUUCGGAUGGGCCGCAGUGAAAAGGUCCAGGCGACUGUUUAUCAAAAACACAGGGCUUUGCUAAAUUGAAAGAUGAUGUAUAAGGCCUGACACCUGCCCGGUGCUGGAAGGUUAAGUGGAGGGUUUAGCUUCGGCGAAGAUCUGAAAUGAAGCCCCAGUAAACGGCGGCCGUAACUAUAACGGUCCUAAGGUAGCGAAAUUCCUUGUCGGGUAAGUUCCGACCUGCACGAAUGGUGCAACGAUCUGGACACUGUCUCAGCCAUGAGCUCGGUGAAAUUGUAGUAUCGGUGAAGAUGCCGAUUACCCGCAGCGGGACGAAAAGACCCCGUGAACCUUUACUAUAGCUUAGUAUUGGCUUUGGAUAAGUAAUGUGUAGGAUAGGUGGGAGACUUUGAAGCGGCGUCGCCAGGCGUUGUGGAGUCAUUGUUGAAAUACCACCCUUUGCUUAUCUAGGGCCUAAUCCCCAACGGGAGACAGUGCGUGGUGGGUAGUUUGACUGGGGUGGUCGCCUCCAAAAGAGUAACGGAGGCUUCUAAAGGUUCCCUCAGCACGCUUGGUAACCGUGCGUAGAGUGCAAUGGCAUAAGGGAGCUUGACUGAGAGACAUACAGGUCGAUCAGGUACGAAAGUAGAGCAUAGUGAUCCGGUGGUUCCGUAUGGAAGGGCCAUCGCUCAAAGGAUAAAAGGU
rnacentral:rRNA from 1 species